rnacentral:rRNA from 1 species
UACGGGGGGGGUAAGCGUUGUUCGGAAUUACUGGGCGUAAAGGGCUCGUAGGCGGCCAACUAAGUCAGACGUGAAAUCCCUCAGCUUAACUGGGGAACUGCGUCUGAUACUGGAUGGCUUGGAUUCGGGAGAGGAAUGCGGAAUUCCAGGUGUAGCGGUGAAAUGCGCAGAUAUCAGGAAGAACACCCGUGGCGAAGGCGGUUCUCUGGGACGGUACUGACGCUGAGACGCGAAAGCGUGGGGAGCGAACAGG